CGCACCCGGCCGGCGCCGCUGAGGCAGCCGCCGUUGUUGCCCGCCGUGGAGGCAAGGACACGCACAACCCACGGAGGAGCUUGAACCAGCAGGGGAGUGUGACCGGCCGCCGGCGGCGAGCGCGCGGCGGAUCUCUGACCUGGCGGCAUGGCGGACCCCGGCUCGGCGACAGCCUCCCAGGCGCGCGCGCUCGUCGACGGCCUCAGCCGCGGACUACCUCGCGUCCUCUGGUUGCGGGGCGAGGGAGGGCAGAUCCGCAGGGGCGGCGAAGGAAGGAGGCGAUGAGGGCGGCUGCCGGCUGGAGCAGGUUGAGUGGCGUGGGGUCCGCAUCUGCCGCGGCGACGUCCAUCGCCGGAGAGCUCCUCCGAUUCGAUGCGGAGCGGUGGUGGUGGCCAUGGCUGCAGCGCUCGCCGGCGUCCUCAUUUCCCUACUUGCCGCAGCGUGGCGGAGCCUGCUCGGCGGAAGCAGGCGCGCGGGCGAGCGGAAGCAAAACGGCGGCGGAGGAAACGGAGCGGAGGCAGUGAAUGAGGGAAGAGUCCGUGGGUGAUUUUUUUUUACGUCG
rnacentral:lncRNA from 1 species